rnacentral:snRNA from 1 species
AGAUGUGAGGGCGAUCUGGCUGCGACAUCUGUCACCCUAUUGAUCGCCAGGGUUGAUUCGGCUGAUCUGGCUGGCUAGGCGGGUGUCCCCUUCCUCCCUCACCGCUCCAUGUGCGUCCCUCCCGAAGCUGCGCGCUCGGUCGAAGAGGACGACCAUCCCCACUAGAGGAGGACCGUGCUUCGGUCAAGGGUAUACGAGUAGCUGCGCUCCCCUGCUAGAACCUCCAAACAAACUCUCAAGGCUUAGAGCUUUUAGAGACAAAGAUAUGUGAUUCCAGAUCUUUCUGAAUUUCAUGCCAUGCUUC